GAAGAGAAACAGUGAGACCGGAUGGGUGAAGUAACCCGAUCACGUGACCAACUAGACGGAAGCAGGAAGUAGAGGUGAACGGUGUGAACGACGCUGGACACAUGCGGUGAAGAGCGGACGCUGGGACACAGAGCAGGAGAUACAGGGCGAGCACAACGGCAAGCUGCUGCUGGGAGCCCACACCAGGCCCCUUCUCAGGCCCCCUCCCCUUCUGUCUCCCCCUCCCCCUCUCCAGGCCACUCCCCCUCUUCUGCCCACACCCCCUCUCCAGCCCACACCCCCUCUCCAGCCCACACCCCCUCUCCGGACCACUCCCCCUCUCCGGACCACUCCCCCUCUCCAGCCACCUCCAUCUCUCCGGCCCACUCCUUCUCUCCAGCCACCUCCCCCUCUCCAGCCACCUCACCCUCUCCGGCCCAAUUCCACUCUCUUUCCCAAUCCCCCUCUCCAGCCCAAUCCCACUCUCUUUCCCAACCCCCCUCUCCAGCCCAAUCCCACUCUCUUUCCCAAUCUCCCUCUCCAGCCCAAUCCCACUCUCUUUCCCAAUCCCCCUCUCCAGCCCAAUCCCACUCUCUUUCCCAAUCCCCCUCUCCAGCCCAAUCCCACUCUCCCGACCAAUCACCCUCUCCGGCCCAAUCCCACUCUCUUGCACAAUUCCCCUCUCUGCCCCCUCCCCCUCUGUGUCCCAAAAAUCCACUCCACCACCCUCACCCUAUCAUUCACAAACCCCCUCUGUUAGGUCCUCCCCCUUCCAUCCUCUAACACAAUUAGACCCUCCUUCCCCCAUCCUGCCUCCUUCCCCCAUCCAGCACCCAUCCCCCAUCCAUCCAACCUUACCCAUCCAGCCUCCAUCCCCCAGCCAGCCACCUUCGCCGCCAACAGAAUGGGCAGCAGAGGCCCCGGAGCCACUUGAGGGAGGUGGGCAAGUGGCAGAGGAGAAUGUUGCAGUUGGAGAUCCCACCACUUUUGCGGGCAUUCUGGCCCCCAUGCGGCAAAAUCUUGAAGCCUUGCUGGCUAAUGUGGACCAGCUGCAAAAAUUUGCAUAUUUUUUAAUGUAAAUCAUUUUAUAUUUUCAGUUCACAAAAAAAAAA